GUGAUGUUUUUCUGGUUCAAUUAGACAAACCAUGAUAGAAAAACACUAUUUCCAGAAAAUCCAAACACUAUUAAAAUAUUGAAACGAUGAUAUAGGAAAGUAAGGGAAAAAGCUGGGUUCUCAUUUAUAUAUCCUUAUCUCAGUUUAAUAAUUAGAAAAAUAUUGGAACAAAGUGAUGUUUUCCUGGUUUAAUUAAACAAACCAUGAUGGAAAAACACUAUUUCCAGAAGAUCCAAACACUAUUAAAAAAUUGAAACGAUGAUAUAGGAAAGUAAGUGAAAAAGCUGGGUUCUCAUUUAUAUAUCCUUAUCUCAGUUUAAUAAUUAGAAAAAUAUUGGAACAAAGUGAUGUUUUCCUGGUUUAAUUAAACAAACCAUGAUGGAAAAACACUAUUUCCAGAAGAUCCAAACACUAUUAAAAAAUUGAAACGAUGAUAUAGGAAAGUAAGUGAAAAAGCUGGGUUCUCAUUUAUAUAUCCUUAUCUCAGUUUAAUAAUUAGAAAAAUAUUGGAACAAAGUGAUGUUUUCCUGGUUUAAUUAAACAAACCAUGAUGGAAAAACACUAUUUCCAGAAGAUCCAAACACUAUUAAAAAAUUGAAACGAUGAUAUAGGAAAGUAAGUGAAAAAGCUGGGUUCUCAUUUAUAUAUCCUUAUCUCAGUUUAAUAAUUAGAAAAAUAUUGGAACAAAGUGAUGUUUUCCUGGUUUAAUUAAACAAACCAUGAUGGAAAAACACUAUUUCCAGAAGAUCCAAACACUAUUAAAAAAUUGAAACGAUGAUAUAGGAAAGUAAGUGAAAAAGCUGGGUUCUCAUUUAUAUAUCCUUAUCUCAGUUUAAUAAUUAGAAAAAUAUUGGAACAAAGUGAUGUUUUCCUGGUUUAAUUAAACAAACCAUGAUGGAAAAACACUAUUUCCAGAAGAUCCAAACACUAUUAAAAAAUUGAAACGAUGAUAUAGGAAAGUAAGUGAAAAAGCUGGGUUCUCAUUUAUAUAUCCUUAUCUCAGUUUAAUAAUUAGAAAAAUAUUGGAACAAAGUGAUGUUUUCCUGGUUUAAUUAAACAAACCAUGAUGGAAAAACACUAUUUCCAGAAGAUCCAAACACUAUUAAAAAAUUGAAACGAUGAUAUAGGAAAGUAAGUGAAAAAGCUGGGUUCUCAUUUAUAUAUCCUUAUCUCAGUUUAAUAAUUAGAAAAAUAUUGGAACAAAGUGUUGUUUUUCUGGUUCAAUUAGACAAACCAUGGUAGAAAAACACUAUUCCCAGAAGAUCCAAACACUAUUAAAAAAUUGAAACGAUGAUAUAGGAAAGUAGGUGAAAAAGCUGGGUUCUCAUUUAUAUAUCCUUAUCUCAGUUUAAUAAUUAGAAAAACAUUGGAACAAAAUGUUGUUUUUCUGGUUCAAUUAGACAAACCAUGGUAGAAAAACACUAUUUCCAGAAGAUCCAAACACUAUUAAAAAAUUGAAACGAUGAUAUAGGAAAGUAAGUGAAAAAGCUGGGUUCUCAUUUAUAUAUCCUUAUCUCAGUUUAAUAAUUAGAAAAAUAUUGGAACAAAGUGAUGUUUUCCUGGUUUAAUUAAACAAACCAUGAUGGAAAAACACUAUUUCCAGAAGAUCCAAACACUAUUAAAAAAUUGAAACGAUGAUAUAGGAAAGUAAGUGAAAAAGCUGGGUUCUCAUUUAUAUAUCCUUAUCUCAGUUUAAUAAUUAGAAAAAUAUUGGAACAAAGUGAUGUUUUCCUGGUUUAAUUAAACAAACCAUGAUGGAAAAACACUAUUUCCAGAAGAUCCAAACACUAUUAAAAAAUUGAAACGAUGAUAUAGGAAAGUAAGUGAAAAAGCUGGGUUCUCAUUUAUAUAUCCUUAUCUCAGUUUAAUAAUUUGAAAAAUAUUGGAACAAAGUGAUGUUUUUCUGGUUCAAUUAGACAAACCAUGGUAGAAAAACACUAUUUCCAGAAGAUCCAAACACUAUUAAAAAAUUGAAACGAUGAUAUAGGAAAGUAAGUGAAAAAGCUGGGUUCUCAUUUAUAUAUCCUUAUCUCAGUUUAAUAAUUAGAAAAAUAUUGGAACAAAGUGUUGUUUUUCUGGUUCAAUUAGACAAACCAUGGUAGAAAAACACUAUUUCCAGAAGAUCCAAACACUAUUAAAAAAUUGAAACGAUGAUAUAGGAAAGUAGGUGAAAAAGCUGGGUUCUCAUUUAUAUAUCCUUAUCUCAGUUUAAUAAUUAGAAAAACAUUGGAACAAAGUGAUGUUUUUCUGGUUCAAUUAGACAAACCAUGGUAGAAAAACACUAUUCCCAGAAGAUCCAAACACUAUUAAAAAAUUGAAACGAUGAUAUAGGAAAGUAGGUGAAAAAGCUGGGUUCUCAUUUAUAUAUCCUUAUCUCAGUUUAAUAAUUAGAAAAACAUUGGAACAAAAUGUUGUUUUUCUGGUUCAAUUAGACAAACCAUGGUAGAAAAACACUAUUUCCAGAAGAUCCAAACACUAUUAAAAAAUUGAAACGAUGAUAUAGGAAAGUAAGUGAAAAAGCUGGGUUCUCAUUUAUAUAUCCUUAUCUCAGUUUAAUAAUUUGAAAAAUAUUGGAACAAAGUGAUGUUUUUCUGGUUCAAUUAGACAAACCAUGGUAGAAAAACACUAUUUCCAGAAGAUCCAAACACUAUUAAAAAAUUGAAACGAUGAUAUAGGAAAGUAAGUGGAAAAGCUGGGUUCUCAUUUAUAUAUCCUUAUCUCAGUUUAAUAAUUAGAAAAAUAUUGGAACAAAGUGUUGUUUUUCUGGUUCA